GACGGAUACAUCGAAACAGCUCUAGUAUUUUUAUUUUUUUUCCUUUCUUCCGUCAAAGUCAGGGGGUGAUUCUUUUUUAUCUGGCAGCGGUGCAGCGCAAUUAAGACCUUCAUUCCGGAUUUUAGUUAUUUGCCUUCGACUUUAAAUUUUGCAGUUCUGGAGUCGAGGUGGCCAUGGAAGUCGAUAAUGACUAGAGAUUUUGUAUUUCCAUUGAAAUUUUAAGUUGAACAUGUUACUUUUUAGUUUAUCAUUUUAUUUCAUGUUACUUUAUUAGUGUUUGGGCAAGUUGAUUUUAAUUAGCUAGUUUAAAUUUUGUUAGUCAAGAAAUUUUAUUUUAACUAUU